rnacentral:misc_RNA from 1 species
CAACUGCAUACCAAAUUGCAGUUUCUGGGAUUUCAUACCUACAGUCACAGACAAAGGGCAUUCUUCCCUUCGGGUCUGCGAAGCAGGAUACAAGUAAAGACUCGCCUGAAGCUGUCAAUGGAAGUGAGGUACAAUGCAACAUUGCAAGCUCCCAGAUGGCGUCAUUCGUGGCCACUACAAAUUCGGUCACCGCAGUGGUUGCUGGGAAAGAGGAGAUGAAACAGGCUGUUGCUGAGGAUCUGAACUCAGCACAGUCCUCACCUUGCGAGUGGUAUGUAUGUGACGAAGUUAGCAGCGGAACCAGAUAUUUUGUUAUUCAGGGUUCUGAGUCGUUAGCUUCAUGGCAAG